CGCUUCGGUGGCCUAUUGGUUAGAGCGUCCACCUCGGAUGCGGGAUGUCGUGGGUUCGAUCCCCGGUCAAGUCA